GAUGAACGCUGGCUACAGGCUUAACACAUGCAAGUCGAGGGGAAACGACGGGGAAGCUUGCUUCCCCGGGCGUCGACCGGCGCACGGGUGAGUAACGCGUAUCCAACCUGCCUCUGACUGAGGGAUAACCCGUCGAAAGUCGGCCUAAUACCUCAUGGCAUCGUCUGCGGGCAUCCAACGACGAUUAAAGAUUUCAUCGGUCAGAGAUGGGGAUGCGUCUGAUUAGCUUGUUGCGGGGUAACGGCCCACCAAGGCGACGAUCAGUAGGGGUUCUGAGAGGAAGGUCCCCCACAUUGGAACUGAGACACGGUCCAAACUCCUACGGGAGGCAGCAGUGAGGAAUAUUGGUCAAUGGGCGAGAGCCUGAACCAGCCAAGUAGCGUGCAGGAUGACGGCCCUAUGGGUUGUAAACUGCUUUUAUGCGGGGAUAAAGUGAGGGACGUGUCCUUCAUUGCAGGUACCGCAUGAAUAAGGACCGGCUAAUUCCGUG
rnacentral:rRNA from 1 species